AGUGAACGCUGGCGGUAGGCCUAACACAUGCCAGUCGAACGGCAGCACAGUAAGAGCUUGCUCUUACGGGUGGCGAGUGGCGGACGGGUGGGGAAUACAUCGGAAUCUACUUUUUCGUGGGGGAUAACGUAGGGAAACUUACGCUAAUACCGCAUACGACCUACGGGUGAAAGCAGGGGAUCUUCGGACCUUGCGCGAUUGAAUGAGCCGAUGUCGGAUUAGCUAGUUGGCGGGGUAAAGGCCCACCAAGGCGACGAUCCGUAGCUGGUCUGAGAGGAUGAUCAGCCACACUGGAACUGAGACACGGUCCAGACUCCUACGGGAGGCAGCAGUGGGGAAUAUUGGACAAUGGGCGCAAGCCUGAUCCAGCCAUACCACGUGGGUGAAGAAGGCCUUCGGGUUGUAAAGCCCUUUUGUUGGGAAAGAAAAGCAGCAGGUUAAUACCCCGCUGUUCUGACGGUACCCAAAGAAUAAGCACCGGCUAACUUCGUG
rnacentral:rRNA from 1 species